rnacentral:rRNA from 1 species
GUUGUAUAGGUUAAGUUAAUAAGGGCGCGUGGUGAAUGCCUUGGCACUAGGAGCCGAUGAAGGACGUGACUAACUACGAUAAGCUUUGGUGAGCGGUAAGUACGCUAUGACCCAAAGAUUUCCGAAUGGGGAAACCCAACUCGUAAGAGUUGUCUGUAUCUGAAUACAUAGGAUAUUUGACGGAAUACGCUGUGAACUGAAACAUCUCAUUAGCAGCAGGAGCAGAAAGAAAAAUCGAUUCCCUAAGUAGCGGCGAGCGAACGGGGAAGAGCCCAAACCAACGUGCUUGCAUGUUGGGGUUGUAGGACUGAUAUAUAAGAGUUACAAAAGUGUUUUAUAGCAGAACAAGUUGGGAAACUUGGCUAUAGAGGGUGAUAGCCCCGUAAGCGAAAUGAAGCACACUCUUUUCAGGAUCCUGAGUACGGCCGGACACGUGAAAUCCGGUCGGAAUCUGCGGGGACCAUCCCGUAAGGCUAAAUACUCCCUAGUGACCGAUAGUGAACCAGUACCGUGAGGGAAAGGUGAAAAGCACCCCGGAAGGGGAGUGAAAUAGUUCCUGAAACCACGACGCCUACAAGAAGUCAGAGCCCGUUAAUGGGUGAUGGCGUGCCUUUUGUAGAAUGAACCGGCGAGUUACGGUAUCGUGCGAGGUUAAGGUGGAAAGACCGGAGCCGCAGCGAAAGCGAGUGUGAAUAGCGCGAAUAGUACGAUGCUGUAGACCCGAAACCAAGUGACCUACCCAUGGUCAGGAUGAAGGUGAGGUAAAACUUACUGGAGGUCCGAACCGGUGCAUGUUAAAAAAUGCUCGGAUGAACUGUGGGUAGCGGUGAAAUUCCAAACGAACUUGGAGAUAGCUGGUUCUCUCCGAAAUAGCUUUAGGGCUAGCCUCAUUAUAAGCAUACUGGAGGUAGAGCACUGUUAAGCCUAGGGGCCCAUCUCGGGUUACCAAAGUUUGAUAAACUCCGAAUGCCAGAUAUGUAUGAAUGGGAGUCAGACGAUGAGUGAUAAGAUCCACCGUCGAAAGGGGAACAGCCCAGAUCGCCAGUUAAGGUCCCUAAAUAUAUGUUAAGUGGAAAACGAUGUGAUAGUGCAUAGACAACUAGGAUGUUGGCUUAGAAGCAGCCACCAUUUAAAGAGUGCGUAAUAGCUCACUAGUCGAGUGCCAUUGCGCGGAAAAUGUACCGGGGCUAAACAUAUUACCGAAACUGCGGGUGCACGUAAGUGCGCGAUAGGAGAGCGUUGUAAGGGCGACGAAGGUAGAUCGUAAGGACUGCUGGAGCGCUUACAAGUGAGAAUGCCGGUAUGAGUAGCGAAAGACAGGUGAGAAUCCUGUCCACCGAAUGACUAAGGUUUCCUGGGGAAGGCUCGUCCACCCAGGGUUAGUCGGGACCUAAGGCGAGGCUGAGAAGCGUAGUCGAUGGAUAACAGGUUGAGAUUCCUGUACCAGUUGUAAUGCGUUAUUACCGAUGGAGGGACGCAGGAGGCUACCAGAUGCGCACUGAUGGAUAUGUGCGUGCAAGCAGUAAGUCUUGAAAAGAGUGAAAUGCUUUUUUCUAUAAGGACAAGCUGUGAUGCGGAUCGAAAUAAAGUAGAGAAGUCUGAGACGUCACACUGCCGAGAAAAGCUUCUAGGAAGUAUUACACUGCCCGUACCGCAAACCGACACAGGUAGUCGAGUGGAGAACACUAAGGUGAGCGAGAGAACCCUCGUUAAGGAACUCGGCAAAAUGACCCCGUAACUUCGGGAGAAGGGGUGCUCAUGGUAAAACAUGAGCCGCAGUGAAUAGGCCCAGGCGACUGUUUAUCAAAAACACAGGUUUCUGCAAAAUCGUAAGAUGAAGUAUAGGGGCUGACGCCUGCCCGGUGCUGGAAGGUUAAAAGGAGUGCUUAGCUUCGGCGAAGGUACGAAUUGAAGCCCCAGUAAACGGCGGCCGUAACUAUAACGGUCCUAAGGUAGCGAAAUUCCUUGUCGGGUAAGUUCCGACCCGCACGAAAGGCGUAACGAUCUGGGCACUGUCUCAACGAGGGACUCGGUGAAAUUUAAAUACCCGUGAAGAUGCGGGUUACCCGCGACAGGACGGAAAGACCCCAUGGAGCUUUACUGUAGCUUGAUAUUGAAUGUUUGUGCUGCUUGUACAGAAUAGGUAGGAGACGUAGAAGAUUGGACGCUAGUCUAGUCGGAGUCGCACGGUGGGAUACUACCCUCGUUGUAUGAACAUUCUAACACUGGUCACUCAACGUGAUCGUGGACAGUGUCUGGCGGGCAGUUUGACUGGGGCGGUCGCCUCCUAAAAGG